ensembl:lncRNA
GGAACCUGUGGGGCGGCACCGAGCGCGGUGACAGCAGAUGACGCAGGUGGAGGUGGUGGUGGAGAAGGAGGAGGUGGAGCAGCGGACCAGGAACCACUGGUGGAGGGCUGAGCCGGUGGUGGAGGAGAAGGAGGAGGUGGAGCAGCGGACCAGGAACCACUGGUGGAGGGCUGAGCCGGUGGUGGUGGAGAAGGAGGAGGUGGAGCAGCGGACCAGGAACCACUGGUGGAGGGCUGAGCCGGUGGUGGAGAAGGAGGAGGUGGAGCAGCGGACCAGGAACCACUGGUGGAGGGCUGAGCAGGUGGUAGUGAAAUGAGGGCAGAGAAGAGCUCCAGACUAGCCUCGGUGUCGUCUGUGAAGCCCUCAUCCUCUGCCUCGUCGCCCAGGUCCUCCAGCAGCUGCUCCGUCUCCUCCCCUCAGGAUCCAUGUCCUGCAUGCACUUCCCC